rnacentral:lncRNA from 1 species
UUAUUACCUAUAUUGAUGUUCAUUGAGUCAUAAUGGGAAAGCUUUCCAUACUCCAUGUUAUAAAAUAUUUACCCAUGUACUCAAUGGUUUUAUUUUUCACAUUUAAAUCUUCAAUCCAUUUGGAAUUUAUCUUGGUGUAUGAUAUGAGGAAUAAAUUCAGUUUAAUCUUUUUUUCUAUAUGGCUAUAGAAUUAUUCCCAGCACCACUUAUUUUGUUCAUUCCCCCACAUUAAUUUGAGAUAAAUUCCAUUCAUAAUUGAGUUCAUUUCUGGAUUCUCUGUACUGUUCCAUUAGUCUCUCUUUAAUUAUGUGCCACUACCACACUGUUUUAAUUAUAGAGCUUUAUAAGAAUAUCUUGUAAGGCUAUUCCUCUCUCUUUUCUUUCCCUUUUCAGGGUCUUCUGGCUGUUCUUGCUUGUUUGUUUUUACAGAUGAACUUUGUAAUCAGCUUGUCUAGCUGUGGGAAGAAAAAUCAAAGGUUUUUUCUUUUUAUUGAGGUUGUAUUAUAUUUACAAAUUAGUAUAGGGAGAACUGACGUCAUUGUGAUGUUGUAUCUUCUUAUACAAGAACAUGGUAUGUCUUUUUACUUGUUUAAAUCUCUUGUGGUUUUUUGGGAGUGUUUUUAUGCCUCUCCUCAUAGAGUUCCUUAUUGAGUUUAUGCCAGAUAUUCUAUUAUUUUUUGCUUUCAUAAGUAGGAUUUUCUCUUCCAUUAUGUUUCUGAGUUUCCCUUUUUUUUUUAAAUAAAUGAAGCCUGUUGAUUUUGAUAUGUUUCUUAUAUAGCCUGCUAAGUUCUCUGAUUUGUAAUACAAAGCACAUAAAUUCUUUGGGGGUUUCCAGACAUAUCAUUAUAUUAUUUGUAAAUAGAGUUUUACCUCUUUUCCAAUUUUUAGACCACUAAUUGCAGUCUCUUAUUGCAUUGGAUAGUAUCUUUAAUACAGUGUUAAAAUAAUAAAGAAGAUAAUGUUUUAUACAAAAUAGUGUGUCUUGUUUCUAACUUU